rnacentral:rRNA from 1 species
UACGUAGGGUGCAAGCGUUGUCCGGAAUUAUUGGGCGUAAAGAGCUCGUAGGCGGUCUGUCGCGUCUGCUGUGAAAACCCGGGGCUCAACCCCGGGCUUGCAGUGGAUACGGGCAGACUAGAGUUCGGUAGGGGAGACUGGAAUUCCUGGUGUAGCGGUGAAAUGCGCAGAUAUCAGGAGGAACACCGGUGGCGAAGGCGGAUCUCUGGGCCGUAACUGACGCUGAGGCGCGACAGCGUGGGGAGCAAACAGG